rnacentral:lncRNA from 1 species
UGGCGCUGAAUACCUGCAUUGGGUCGCAGAAUAUUCCUGUUACUUGCAGAGGUGGAAGUGCCCCUGAAUGCUUUAUUCAGUCCUCUUCCUUGUGAAGCUUGAACUUGUCUUGAUGCUGCGGCUGCCACAGAGGAAUAUGCAGGGUGGACGCUGCUAGAACCUGUAUCCCUGACCCUCUGCAGUCCAGGUCGAGGCUUGGCUGCAGCUGAGUCUGUUGUGGUUCUUGUUGUUGCAGGUGUUGUGGUUGGCUUUGGUGUUGUGCUGAAAGGAUCUGUGGUUGUGGUUGUUGGGGUUGGUGUUGUGGCUGCCAUUUGUGUGGUUGGCAUUGGUACAGGUGAUGUCUGAUACACCUUGCGGACAGUGUCCCCUUGUUCCCAGGCUUUCCCUGAUGUAUCAGAUGUGGCUGCACUCUUUGUAACUUUUAGGUCUUGCUCUGGCUUCUUAGGCUCUGGUUUAACAGCUGUGCUCUUUGAGGAAGCGAAUUCAAGAGUUGAUGGAUAUGUCACACCCUUUCUUGGCUUGCCCUCUGAGACAAGGAAGGACUCCCUCCAGCGUGGCAAUGACAAUGACCGAACUCCAUUGGAGAAGCUCCCCCGGUACCCAGCAUGGCCAGCCACCUUCUGAACAAGGAUCUUCCCACCCGUAUUGUCUAUUGCACCACUGUGAAUUGCAG